rnacentral:rRNA from 1 species
UACGUAGGGGGCAAGCGUUAUCCGGAUUUACUGGGUGUAAAGGGAGCGUAGACGGCCGUUCAAGUCUGAAGUGAAAGCCCGGGGCUCAACCCCGGAACGGCUUUGGAAACUGAGAGGCUGGAGUGCUGGAGAGGUAAGCGGAAUUCCUGGUGUAGCGGUGAAAUGCGUAGAUAUCAGGAGGAACACCGGUGGCGAAGGCGGCUUACUGGACAGUAACUGACGUUGAGGCUCGAAAGCGUGGGGAGCAA